CUUGAUCUUAUCUGAGUGCUCACGAGCGGGCUUCUGCUCUACUUCAGGCCUCGGAUCUCGCCCUCGUUGCCGUCACUCCGAUUGUUUUCGGUCUGUGCGCUUGGUUGCUUGGGCUGUAUGGAUCGUGUGCCGCUCGGGGUAGAAACAGGGGCUCGCGUGGUUGUGCACAAUGACGCCUGCCCGCUAAGCAAGCUCUGUAAUCAAAGAGCCGUGAUGCGACCUGCGGGCUACCCCCUCCCUUUCAAAUCAGUACUGAGGUCUUAUGGUUUUUUGUCUUCGUGCCGUAAUAGGAGCAUGUGGUUGAAGGCGAUGAUGGAGCUUGUAUUUUUGACUUUGUGAGGAAGUGUUAAGUUUUGGGGUCUCUCUUGUGAACCUGUACCCUCACCAUCGUGCUGCAGGUAUGGGGUAGCAAGGUUGAAGUCGCCUUGUAUUUAUGUCUUUCUCACUUGUGAUGAACCUCUUACUCAGCUGAGCCUUUGGAGGAUUGUGUUACAAUAUAUUCUCAAGAUAAUUUGUUAUCAAAUGUAGUAGCUGAUAAUUCCGUGUCAUUUGUUACAGUCUGAGAAGGAAUGUGAUGAUAUUUGCAGGUACUGCCUACACGGCUUUUUCAUCAGUAUCAUGUUGGUGCCAUCAUAGCUCAUGGCUGGCUUACCAUAGUCGCCGGGCAAUGAAAGUGUACUCUGAUAUUGGCGGUCAACUGGGGAAAUAUCACUAGAUUAUCUGAUUCCUUUCGCGUGAGCGUCAUGUCAAAUAUAGCUUUUUAAUGUAGCAUCGUAAAAUAACGCAGCUGAAGCUAUUGGCUUAACUUGAUGAUAACUUGUGCAUUGCUCAAAUUUAAUUUGGAAAAAGAUUCUCAUAAUCACUAUGCUCUAUCGAGUAGUAUGCAGAUCAGCUUGGUAAAUGAAAAUAUACACAAACUGCCACUUUGUUAUCCAAACAAAAAUUUGAAUGGAGAAUAAUUAAUGAAUCUUCAAAAAUUUUUAGUCCUACACAAAUG